GAAGGUAUAGCUCAGUGGUAGAGCUUAUGCCUGGCAUGCAUGAGGUCCUGGGUUCAAUCUCCAAUACUUUAA
rnacentral:tRNA from 1 species